CGGAAUUAAAGCAAACAGCUCCACUCGUGGCUGUAGGAGAUGAAAACCCGGGUAUUGCAAGUUCAAAUUUGUGGGUUUUUUCUCUCGAAUGUAAGAAUGCUUGGACGUAGCAACGAACGCUGUUCACAGCGCACGCGCCAAAGACGAACUGAAUGAGAUCAUGCGGGGCCCGAGAGAUUUUGCAUUCAACAAGCGCGUAGCAAAGCAGAACAAUGAAACAACGUGGUCGCACACGGGCUUUUUGUGUUCAUACCUUGAAUUUUGUACGUACAUUGAAGCAAAAUUUUAUGUACAAUCCUGUUCGUAGACCGAUUUGUUCAUAAACGGGGUCAUUCAUAUGUCAAGGCGCUACUGUAUUACCAUAAAAACCUAAACUAUAUAAAUAUGAUAUGGUUCUUCAUGAUAAAUUAGAAAAGAUUUGACAAGUGAUGCAUUAAUGAAGUAUGCAGCAUUACUCUGUAUACACAGUCAUGAAGUGUUGAUGCCAUCCUAUUCAAUAAUUUGUUAGCAUAUUUUGCCGUUAGAAUAGGCAAAUUGGAAAGCAGCAAUGUACAUUACUAAUAAAACAUUAACAAGGGAAAAACAGUUUAGUUGGAUUGAC